ensembl:lncRNA
UGACGUAUCCGCGGGAGCAGCAGGGUGGCGGGAGGAACCGUUACGGGAACUGAAGCUGCCGAUUAAGCCUGAUCAAGAUGACAACCUCCCAAAAGCACCGAGACUUCGUGGCAGAGCCCAUGGGGGAGAAGCCAGUGGGGAGCCUGGCUGGGAUUGGUGAAGUCCUGGGCAAGAAGCUGGAGGAGAGGGGCUUUGACAAGGCCUAUGUUGUCCUUGGCCAGUUUCUGGUGCUAAAGAAAGAUGAAGACCUCUUCCGGGAAUGGCUGAAGGACACGUGUGGCGCCAACGCCAAGCAGUCCCGGGACUGCUUCGGAUGCCUUCGAGAGUGGUGUGACGCCUUCUUGUGAUGCUCUCUGGGAAGCUCUCAAUCCCCAGCCCUCAUCCAGAGUUUGCAGCCGAGUAGGGACUCCUCCCCUGCCCUCUACGAAGGAAAAGAUUGCUAUUGUCGUACUCACCUCCGACGUACUCCAGGGUCUUUUGGGAGUUUUCUCCCCUAACCAUUUCAACUUUUUUGGAUUCUCGCUCUUGCAUGCCUCCCCCGCCCUUUUUCCCUUGCCAGUUCCCUGGUGACAGUUACCAGCUUUCCUGAAUGGAUUCCUGGCCCCGUCCCUCACCCCCCACCCUCACUUUCAGUCCGUUUGAUACCAUUUGGCUCCUUUUUGGGCAGAACAGUCACUGUCCUUGUAAAGUUUUUUAGAUCAAUAAAGUCAGUGGCUUUCAUGACUGGGCUUUGUGCACUGAAAAACAAGUGGGCUGGGAGUUGCCUCUCCUCCAGGGACGGACCAUGUCUCCCUCACUCCUUAUCAGUAGAGACCGAAACUGGCAGCUUCCCUUCCACUCCCAGAGGGCAGUCAUGCUAGCCAUGUAGGCCUCAGGCAGGUGACUUGUGUCUCAAUCCCCGAGUGAUGUGGGAGAGGGUGUGGGUGGAUCUUUUCCUGGGAGCCAGAUGGACGGUGCUCCAGAUGUUAGUUAAGUCAACAGCUGGGCUAGGCAACACCUGGUGGAAAAGUCAGUGGGAGUCAGAGGUACCAGACAGGGUGGGCCAGAUGUGGGUGAGAGUUCACCUGCCAGUCAGCAUAUCAUCUGCUCUCCUGGCCUCGGCAAGGGUGAGCAGGGCGCUUGCCAUCUUCCAUGAUCUCUUAGGUAGGAGAAGGAGCACAGGCAUCACAGCUGGAAGGAUGUGAGGGGAGUACACCUCAGUACAUUUUAGUCCUAUUCUUUUUGUUUACUUUUUAACUUAAUAGAGACGGCCCUUCUGUGUUGCCCAGGCUGGCCUUAAGCGAUCCUUAAGCCUCUCAAAGCGCUAUGACUAUAGGUGUGAGCCACCAUACGUGUCCAGCCCUGUUAUGUCUUGAACACUUAGUAUGAACCAGGCUUGAAGCUAAAAUCUUUGCAAACAUUUUUUUCUUUCACAAUAAUAAUUAUUUUCUCUUUUACAGGUGAGGAAACUUGAGGCUCAGAGAGGCGAAUUUGCCCGUGGACUUGCUCCUGGGAAGUAGCCAGACUGGAACUCAGAACUAGCUUGGAAACGCAUGGACCGGGCCCUGUGUUCCUUGGUCAUGUGGCUUAUCCUCUCUGAGUCUCAGUUUUCCCACUUGGAAAAUGAGAUGGUUGUAGGGAAAGGAUAUUUGCAGCAGUGUGAACAACAAAGGAGUAUUUCCGUAGCACAAAUACAACUGCAAUCAAGAAAAAGGUGGACUGGCUGGGCGUGAUGGCUCACGUCUGUAAUCCCAGCACUUUCAGAGGCCGAGGUGGGUGGAUCACCUGAGGUCAGGAUUUCAAGACCAGCCUGGCCAACAUGAUGAAACCUCAUCUCUACUAAAAAUACACAAAUUAGCCCGGUGUGGUGGUGCACGCCUGUAAUCCCAGCUACUCAGGAGGCUCAGGCAGGAGAAUCGAAUUUGGGAGGCAGAGGUUGCAGUCAGCCAAGAUCAUGCCAUUGUACUCCAGCCAGGGUGACAAGAAUGAAACUCGGUUUCAAAAAAAAAAAAGAAAAAAAAA